UGGUGGAGUGAUUUGUCUGGUUAAUUCCGAUAACGAACGAGACCUUAACCUGCUAAAUAGACUCGCAAAGGCGACUUUGCAGUGUCUUCUUAGAGGGACAAAGUAUGUUUAAUACUUGGAAGUUUGAGGCAAUAACA
rnacentral:rRNA from 1 species